GAAAUAAAAACAAAAGGCAAAAAACAACAAAAGCAAAAUAGGAAAGAGGUCUAGACACUUCGUCUAGACCGACUCCAUGAAAUCCGACCUCCAAGUUCUUGUCGAAAUAGCUGCUUCCACCUCCAUGGUAGCUUCUUCUUUUCCUCCUUGUUGUGAUUAUUGAGUUGUUGGUGUCUUUGUGAAAAAGGUGUUGUAAGAGCUGACAUCGCCAGUUCCACUUCUUCCGAGAUGUAUGAAUCGACAAUGCUUCUUUCUUGAUCUGGGGUAAGAAUGGAUUGGGAAAUGCAGGAAUUCCGACAGACCAAAUGGCAGUAAAGAGCUUGGAGAUGAACGAUGUAAUGCAAAAGAUUCUUAGUCGGUUAAGAAUCAAGCACCAACUUCAUUUUCACAGAUUAGUACCUAUCGUAACCUCUUACUGUAUAGAGCAGCACUUAAAAAGAAAAGAGAACUAGAUUGUACCUCUACUGUACAGUGCCAAGUUUGAAAACAUAAGAGAAAUACAAGCAACUACUAAUAUUUAUCCACUAGCAUUUGAACUUCUUAAGAAAGAACCAAGGAACUGCAAUGCUAACUUUACUGUGCCUUCCCACGCCUUCCUACCUCGACCAUUUUGUUUCUUCUUUAACUUCGUAGAUAAUCUCAAGUCCCUCAGAAGUGUAGUACCUGGAUCAGUCUCAUCCUCCUUGCCCUUGGGAAGCCUCCAUGACGCUUAUCUUUUUGUUGCUUCAUAUGCACCUCAUCCUGAGAAUCAUCCAAACAUGACACCUCCUCAUCUAUUUCCAAUGCCGCAAUUGUACUAUUAUCUAGUUUGGCCCCAUCCUCCUUGUACUUAGGAAGCCUCCCAUGACACUGUUGUUUUGGUUGGUCCAAGUGCACAUCAUGCUGAGGAUCAGUCAAAUCCAACGCCUCCUUCCUUGUUGCCAAUCCCAAAGGCUCUUCCAUUUCCAAAGGCUCUUCCAUAUGUAUUAUAUCUUGAUCUGAUGAGAUUCCACUUAAGAGGUACUUACUGAUUUAGGUUUACCCGGGGUUUUGCUCCAGCGCUUCAGUUGUCUUUGUGCACGAUAAUUUUGAGAUGACUUCUCAAUGGAUGCUGCCUCAAAUCCUGUAGGACUUCAUAGAAGCGAAAUAUCAGGUUUAUCCUCCACAUUCAGCUUCUCCGAGGUAGUAGAUCUCCCAUCUUCCAGUUGCUGCUUCUUUUCAGAUGAUGGUUCAACUGUUGCAAGUUCAAUCUCGUGAGAUCCUUCCAUCUUUGACAGUUCCGUCAGCUGCUGUGCUUCUCGCGCGUUUGUCCAAAUUCCCAUGAAUAUCUGGAAAUAUCAUUUCAAUUGGCUUAUCUACCUGCUGCUUAGUUUCAGCUACACACACUUGAGGAUCAAGACUAGAAUCUCCAUGGGAUGAUGGAGAUUGACUUACGAUCCCUAUUUGCUGAGUUCUUGUUCUUUUUUUUUUUUUCAAAUGGACGGCUCAUUGGGUUCUGAUGAGCUCUCCAGUGCUAACUCUGGAAUAUGUUGCUCCUGCUGCUACGCUCCUCCUCUCUUCUUACUAAGGCUAUGAGGCUUACCAACUUGCUGGCUUAGUUUCAAGUGAUAUCUCCUGCUCUACAUGUUUCAAGGCGAAUAAAUCUGUUGAUGCUGCAGGGUAUAACAGAAGAGCAGAUCAAUGACCUUACUGGUACAUGUGACUCACCAUUCAUUGCACUUUGUAAAUCCUUGUACUAGUAGUACUGCGGGACAUACUUGAUCUAGUUCAAAGUCAUAUCAAGAUUCAAUUGAGAUUCGCUGCUGGAGCUCCGGAUGAAGGCCCAAUUAAGUUGUAAUCCAUUGGCUAUACGAUUUGAUUUUGAGUUCGAUGCUGUUGAGGGUGGUGAUUUGAACUUGAAUCGCCUUGUCAAUAGUUAUGUCUGAGCUGAAGAUCCGUUGAUUGCUGCUCUUCCGAUACCGUUUUUCAGGAGUAUACAUCUGCGCAGUAGGAUCACUUCAGUUAUCAACUUAUUGGUGAGCCACACUCCUCUCGGGGUUCAACAUGGAGCCUGCAUUAGUAUUCAGUUUAUGGUAGUCCAGGGCCAUGUCUUGGUAGUUAGUAUUCAGAUAUAUUUUAGAGGUUUCAUAGACAUAUAUUAGUUCACAGAGUCAGUUAUGCUUUCAUGUUUGCAAACUAUUAUAUUUUUACGAUAUUUCAUGCUAUGAGAUAAUUCCAAGACUUUAUUCCGCGAA